rnacentral:rRNA from 1 species
AACAUGCAAGUCGAGCGAGGCGCCCCGCAAGGGGUAGUCGAGCGGCGAACGGGUGAGUAACGCGUGGAUUAUCUGCCCUGAGGUGGGGAAUAACCCGGGGAAACUCGGGCUAAUACCGCAUGAUACCGUGAGGUCAAUGGGGGCUCGCAAGAGCUCUCGCCACAGGAGGAGUCCGCGUCCGAUUAGCUAGUUGGUAGGGUAAUGGCCUACCAAGGCGACGAUCGGUAGCCGGCCUGAGAGGGUGAUCGGCCACACUGGAACUGAGACACGGUCCAGACUCCUACGGGAGGCAGCAGUGGGGAAUUUUGCGCAAUGGGCUAACGCCUGACGCAGCAACGCCGCGUGGAGGAUGAAGGUCUUUGGAUUGUAAACUCCUGUCAGCGGGGAAAAAGCGAUUCGGCCUAAUACGCCGGAGAGUUGAUUGUACCCGCAGAGGAAGCCCCGGCUAACUCUGUGCCAGCAGCCGCGGUAAUACAGAGGGGGCAAGCGCUAUUCGGAAUUAUUGGGCGUAAAGGGCGCGUAGGCGGCUUGGCAAGUGGAAGGUGAAAUCCCCCGGCUUAACCGGGGAACUGCCUUCCAGACUGCUUUGCUUGAGGCCGGGAGAGGCGAGUGGAAUUCCCAGUGUAGCGGUGAAAUGCGUAGAUAUUGGGAGGAACACCAGUGGCGAAGGC